UUUAUCACGUGAAACUUAAAAAUUGAUUCCGGAUAGUGUGGGGUCUCGAUUCCAGGGAAAAUCAAGGCGUUGCUGUCCAAGGAAGAGUAAGAAACAAAAACAAGUGCCUACUCCUGCGGUAUCUUUCGUUUUCACACAUCACAGAGUUGUGAAAUUAAUUUUCGACUUUUUUUUGGUGCUUAUUGAAAUAGGUCAUCGACGAGAUUAAUCAUUAGUUGGAUGGUCGGGUAAAUCGUCGACGGAAGUUCCUACCAGAGUUUGCAAUUAUGAACUUCUUACGAUCAACUUCUGGAGAAGUGGUCCGGCCGUCUUCGUGCCAGUUCCUGUUUCGGUUCGAGACGUGCCUUCUGGUAUUACAAGUUGAGUCGAUUGGCCGGAAUGGAGCAAAAACGCAUGCACUACGACCCGCAGGCUUCCAUUUGACCGGCAGCUCGGUUCUUUUCUGACAGUUUGGGAACCUCCGGAGACAUACAAAGACGUUACCAAGAUUUCGUCCACGCAACGAGAGGUUGAAGCGGAGCCAGCAUCGAACGAUACUGCCAUUCACAGCUCGUGGAAACGACUCAUCGCUCAUACGCUCAUUUAGAUACAAGUUGGCAGCAUGGCCACCACGAUAAUCCUGCCAGGUUGAAUUACGGUCAGCAGAUGACGUUUCGAUUUAAACCGUAAGUUGAAGAAGUAGGGGAAAUGUUCAUGCAUGUUUUUGCAGGGUAAGGAUUCUUUCCGAUUUCCAUUCAAUUUGCUGUUUUUCACUAUUCAAACAAAUUAUUUUUCGAAACUUUUAAUCUCUGAGCUUUUUAUUACACGAUUUUAGUUGAAAACACCUUUUUGCUGUAAUUGGACGUCAAAGUAGUGAUAGGCCAACCUGCCUGAUGGAAUUACAUGCUGUUCCCCUGUUUGUUAUUUAUAAAU